AACGAACGCUGGCGGCAGGCUUAAUACAUGCAAGUCGAACGCUGUAGCAAUACAGAGUGGCAGACGGGUGAGUAACGCGUGGGAAUCUACCCAAUACUACGGGAUAGCUCCGGGAAACUGGAAUUAAUACCGUAUGUGCCCUACGGGGGAAAGAUUUAUCGGUAUUGGAUGAGCCCGCGUUGGAUUAGCUAGUUGGUGGGGUAAUGGCCUACCAAGGCGACGAUCCAUAGCUGGUCUGAGAGGAUGAUCAGCCACACUGGGACUGAGACACGGCCCAGACUCCUACGGGAGGCAGCAGUAGGGAAUAUUGGACAAUGGGCGAAAGCCUGAUCCAGCCAUGCCGCGUGAGUGAUGAAGGCCUUAGGGUUGUAAAGCUCUUUCAGUGGGGAAGAUAAUGACGGUACCCACAGAAGAAGCCCCGGCUAACUUCGUGCCAGCCGCCGCGGUAAAAC
rnacentral:rRNA from 1 species